UACGUAGGUGGCGAGCGUUGUCCGGAAUUACUGGGUGUAAAGGGCGCGUAGGCGGGGAUGCAAGUCAGGUGUGAAAUACCAUGGCUCAACCGAGGUGAUGCAUCUGAAACUGUAUUUCUUGAGUACUGGAGAGGGAAGCGGAAUUCCUAGUGUAGCGGUGAAAUGCGUAGAGAUUAGGAGGAACACCAGUGGCGAAGGCGGCUUUCUGGCCAGAGACUGACGCUGAGGCGCGAAAGCGUGGGGAG
rnacentral:rRNA from 1 species